GCAUAUUGAUUAGACGGAUCCGGUCUGACUCAGAUAUGUAUAUGUUUUUGAUAAAAAGGGGGUGCGGGUUUAAAUAAAAAUUUUUUUUGUUUUUGAUAAAACGGGGUAUGACUGUUUAAACGAGGGCUUAACUGUCUCCCCCUUCAGGUCAGUGAAAUUGAUCUAUCCGUGCAGAAGCGGAUAUAAGAAUACAAGACGAGAAGACCCUUUGGAGCUUUAGGUACAAGGCUUACUUACGUCAAAUAAUCUAAUCAAGGCGCAAAACUUAGUAAAACAUAAGACUUUACCUUCGGUUGGGGCGACCAUGGAGGAAAAAAUAGCCUCCAAGUGGAUUGGACACAUCCCAAAAACCAAGAGAAACAUCUCCACGUCACAGAACAUCUGACCAAUUAUGAUCCGGUUACAAAACCGAUCAACGGACCAAGUUACCCUAGGGAUAACAGCGCAAUCCUCUCCAAGAGUCCAUAUCGACGAGGGGGUUUACGACCUCGAUGUUGGAUCACGACAUCCUAAUGGUGCAGCCGCUAUUAAGGGGUUCGUUUGUUCAACGAUUAUAGUCCUACGUGAUCUGAGUUCAGAACCAGGA
rnacentral:rRNA from 1 species